GACAAACGCUGGCGGUAUGCCUAACACAUGCAAGUCGAACGGACAGAACAGGGAAGCUUUUCGGAGUGGAACUGGAAAGUUAGUGGCGGAUGGGUGAGUAACGCGUGGACAACCUACCUUGUAAAGGGGAAUAACCUCGAGAAAUCGAAGCUAAUACCCCAUAAUAACCUUGCUUCGCAUGAAGUAAGGAGGACAGGCGGCCUUAGCGCUGUCGAUACCAGAUGGGUCCGCGUCUGAUUAGCUAGUUGGUGAGGUAAGGGCUCACCAAGGCGACGAUCAGUAGCCGGCCUGAGAGGGUGAACGGCCACAUUGGGACUGAGACACGGCCCAAACUCCUACGGGAGGCAGCAGUGGGGAAUCUUCCGCAAUGGGCGAAAGCCUGACGGAGCAAUGCCGCGUGAGUGAAGAAGGCCUUCGGGUUGUAAAACUCUGUCCUUAUCGAAGAGAGAGUGUUGUAGUAACUGACAAUACUAGGACGGUAGAUGAGGAGGAAGCCCCGGCUAACUAUGUG
rnacentral:rRNA from 1 species